GCAGGGGUAGCGAAGCGGUCAAACGCAACAGACUGUAAAUCUGUCGGCUCUAUGCCUUCGGGGGUUCGAAUCCCUCCCCCUGCACCA
rnacentral:tRNA from 1 species